rnacentral:rRNA from 1 species
UGCUACAGCCGUUAGCAUGUCUAGCAUGCGAGUCAUUGUAGCAAUACAAGGCGGACGGCUCAGUAACACGUAGUCAACAUAACUCGUGGACGUGGAUAACCUCGGGAAACUGAGAAUAAACCACGAUAGAUCAUAGUGCCUGGAAUGGCUUAUGGUCCAAACAGUUUACUGCCAUGGGAUGGGACUGCGGCCUAUCAGCUUGUUGGUGAGGUAAUGGCCCACCAAGGCGAUUACAGGUACGGGCUCUGAGAGGAGAAGCCCGGAGAUGGGUACUGAGACACGGACCCAGGCCCUAUGGGGCGCAGCAGGCGAGAAACCUUAGCAAUGUGCGAAAGCACGACUGGGUCAGUCCGAGUGAUUCCUGAUAAAGGAGUCUUUUGCUUGUCCUAAAAGCACAGGUGAAUAAGGGGUGGGCAAGUCUGGUGUCAGCCGCCGCGGUAAUACCAGCACCUCGAGUGGUCAGGACGUUUAUUGGGCCUAAAGCAUCCGUAGCCGGCUCUGCAAGUCUUCGGUUAAAUCCACCUGCUCAACAGAUGGGCUGCUGGAGAUACUACAGAGCUAGGGAGUGGGAGAGGCAGACGGUAUUCAGUGGGUAGGGGUAAAAUCCUCUGAUCCAUUGAGGACCACCAGUGGCGAAGGCGGUCUGCCAGAACACGUUCGACGGUGAGGGAUGAAAGCUGGGGGAGCAAACCGGAUUAGAUACCCGGGUAGUCCCAGCUGUAAACGAUGCAAACUCGGUGAUGCAUUGGCUUAUGGGCCAAUGCAGUGCCGCAGGGAAGCCGUUUAAGUUUGCCGCCUGGGAAGUACGGACGCAAGUCUGAAACUCAAAGGAAUUGACGGAAUC